UCAAGUUAUUAAGGGUGCAGGGCGAAUGCCUUGGCACUAGGAGCCGAUGAAGGACGUGAUAAGCUGCGAUAAGCUUCGGGGAGUUGCACGUAAACUUUGAUCCGAAGAUUUCCGAAUGAGGAAACUCACUUAGAGUAAUGUCUAAGUAUCGUAUGAUGAAUACAUAGUCAUGCGAGGGGAACCCGGAGAACUGAAACAUCUAAGUACCCGGAGGAAGAGAAAGAAAUUCGAUUCCGUAAGUAGCGGCGAGCGAACGCGGAACAGGCCAAACCAGUGAAGUUUUCUUCGCUGGGGUUGCGGACAUAUCAUAACGAAGAGGUAUCGUAGAAGAAGAGAGUUGGAAAGCUCCGCCACAGAUGGUAACAGCCCAGUAUUUUAAACGAGAAGACUUUAGAUAUGAUCCAGAGUACCACGGGACACGUGAAACCCUGUGGGAAGCAGGAGGGACCAUCCUCCAAGCCUAAAUACUACCUAGUGACCGAUAGCGUAUAGUACCGUGAGGGAAAGGUGAAAAGAACCCCGGGAGGGGAGUGAAAGAGAACCUGAAACCCUGCACUUACAAGCUGUAGGAGCACAUUAUUUGUGUGACUGCGUACUUUUUGUAGAACGGGCCAACGAGUUACGUUGUGUAGCAAGGUUAAGCACUUAAGGUGUGGAGCCGUAGCGAAAGCGAGUCUUAAAUGGGCGUCCAGUUACCCGACGUAGACCCGAAACCAGGCGACCUAUCCAUGAGCAGGUUGAAGCGAAAGUAAAAUUUCGUGGAGGACCGAACCCACGUACGUUGAAAAGUGCGGGGAUGACUUGUGGAUAGCGGUGAAAUUCCAAUCGAGCCUGGAGAUAGCUGGUUCUCCCCGAAAUAGCUUUAGGGCUAGCCUCAAGCUUAGAGAAACGGAGGUAGAGCACUGAAUGUCCUAGGGGGUAUUGCACUUACCGAAGACUAUCAAACUCCGAAUGCCGUAUUCUUUUGCUUGGGAGUCAGACUAUGGGUGAUAAGAUUCAUAGUCAAGAGGGCAACAGCCCAGAUCGUCAGCUAAGGUCCCUAAAUGUAAGUUAAGUGGUAAAGGAUGUGGAAUUGCACAGACAACCAGGAUGUUGGCUUAGAAGCAGCCACUCAUUUAAAGAGUGCGUAAUAGCUCACUGGUCGAGUGAUUCUGCGCCGAAAAUUUCCGGGGCUAAAACUUACUACCGAAGCUACGGCAUCAUUAUGAUGGGUAGGGGAGCUUUCUAUGCGGCUUGAAGCAUGACCGUAAGGACAUGUGGACUGCAUAGAAGUGAGAAUGUUGGCAUGAGUAGCGAGAUGUGGGUGAGAAUCCCACAGGCCGUAAACCCAAGGUUUCCAGGGGAAGGUUCGUCCGCCCUGGGUUAGUCAGGACCUAAGCCGAGGCCGAAAGGCGUAGGUGAUGGACAACAGGUUGAUAUUCCUGUACCACCAAUAACCGUUUGAGAAAUGGGAUGACACAGUAGGAUAAGCUAACCGCACUGUUGGUUAUGUGCGGGCAAGUAUUGAGGCAGUUCCGAUAGGCAAAUCCGUCGGAAUAAUGCUGGGGUACGAUGCGGAGCGAAAUUUAGUAGCGAAGUAGCUGAUUUCACACUGUCGAGAAAAGUCUCUAUCGAGGUUAAAGGUGCCUGUACCGCAAACCGACACAGGUGGGUGAGGAGAGUAUCCUAAGGCCAGCGAGAGAACUGUUGUUAAGGAACUCGGCAAAAUGACCCCGUAACUUAGGGAGAAGGGGUGCCUUCGAAAGAAGGCCGCAGAGAAUAGGCCCAAGCGACUGUUUACCAAAAACAUAGGUUUCUGCUAAGUCGCAAGACGAUGUAUAGGAGCUGACGCCUGCCCGGUGCUGGAAGGUUAAGGGGAUCUGUUAGAGCAAUCGAAGCAGUGAACUUAAGCCCCAGUAAACGGCGGCCGUAACUAUAACGGUCCUAAGGUAGCGAAAUUCCUUGUCGGGUAAGUUC
rnacentral:rRNA from 1 species